rnacentral:rRNA from 2 species
UCUGGUAGUUAUGGCGAGAAGGUCACACCCGUUCCCAUCCCGAACACGGUAGUUAAGCUUCUCUGCGCCAAUGGUAGUUGGGGGCUUCCC